rnacentral:rRNA from 1 species
GUGCACCAGUCGAGAAUUUUUCUCAAGGGGGGCAACCCUGAAGGAGCGACGCCGCGUGGAGGAUGAAGGCUUUCGGGUUGUAAACUCCUGUCAUUUGAGAACAAGUGUAGCCAAGUAACUACUGGCUACUUGAUAGUAUCAGAAGAGGAAGGGACGGCUAACUCUGUGCCAGCAGCCGCGGUAAUACAGAGGUCCCAAGCGUUGUUCGGAUUCAUUGGGCGUAAAGGGUGCGUAGGUGGCGCCGUAAGUGGGGUGUGAAAUUUCGGAGCUUAACUCCGAAACUGCAUUCCAUACUGCGGUGCUUGAGGACUGGAGAGGAGACUGGAAUUCAUGGUGUAGCAGUGAAAUGCGUAGAGAUCAUGAGGAAGACCAGUGGCGAAGGCGGGUCUCUGGACAGUUCCUGACACUGAGGCACGAAGGCCAGGGGAGCGAACGGGAUUAGAUACCCGUGUAGU